CCUAUACUGCUUCUGCACCUACACCUACACCUACAAACAUUUUUUUUUAUUUACUUAAUUAAUUAAUUAAUUUUUUCUUUCUUCUUCCUCUUUUUUUUUUACCCUCUUAAUAAUACUAUAUUUUUAGGCCCCAUGCUUCAUUAACUGAUUUGAUAUUUUCUUCUCUCUUCUUUAAUACUAUCCCCCUUCCCCCCCUCCCUCCUCUUCCGUAAAACCACCUGUUUCAAACCCUAAUAUUCCGUCCACACGCCACCUUCCCGCUCAAUCUAACGGCCUCCGGCUUGCAUCUCAUUUCGAUUAACGUCUUCUCAUCGCUUGCCUUUUUGUGGUUCGUUGAUCAUUCGAUCAUCGCCGUUGGAACAAUCCUUUCGGUUUCGUUUGUUGUGGAAUUUGAGGGGGAGAUCGAGGUUUAGGUUUCGGAUUCGGAUCAGAGGGGAAAAUUAUGAGUAAUCAGAAGAAGAGAAACUUUCAGAUAGAAGCGUUUAAGCACCGGGUCGUUGUGGAUCCGAAAUAUGCUGAUAAGACCUGGAAGAUUCUGGAGCAUGCUAUCCAUGAGAUUUAUAAUCACAACGCUAGUGGCCUUAGUUUUGAAGAGCUUUAUAGGAAUGCCUAUAAUAUGGUGCUGCACAAAUUUGGUGAAAAGUUGUAUUCUGGUCUGGUUUCAACGAUGACAUCGCAUCUCAAAGAAAUAUCAAAAUCUAUUGAGGCUGCUCAGGGUGAUUCGUUUUUGGAGGAGCUGAACAGGAAAUGGAAUGACCAUAACAAAGCAUUGCAAAUGAUUAGGGAUAUAUUGAUGUACAUGGACCGGACUUAUAUUCCAAGCACCCAUAAAACUCCUGUUCAUGAGCUUGGAUUGAACUUGUGGAGGGAUAACAUCAUACACUCAAGCAAAAUUCAGACAAGGCUUCUAAAUACACUGCUUGCACUAGUUCAUAGAGAACGGACUGGUGAAGUUAUAGACCGAGGAUUGAUGAGGAACAUAAUCAAGAUGCUUAUGGAUUUAGGUUCAUUGGUUUACCAAGAGGACUUUGAGAAGCCAUUUCUUGAGGUUUCAGCUGAGUUCUAUAAGGUUGAAUCACAGGAGUUCAUUGAAUGCUGUGAUUGUGGUGAGUAUUUGAAGAAAGCUGAGAAACGUUUGAAUGAAGAGAUAGAGCGAGUGACUCACUACUUGGAUUCAAAGAGUGAAGUCAAGAUAACUAACGUAGUUGAGAAGGAAAUGAUUGCUAACCAUAUGCUGAGCCUAGUCCACAUGGAGAAUUCAGGCCUGGUAAAUAUGCUUCUUGAUGAUAAAUAUGAAGACUUGGGAAGAAUGUAUAAUUUGUUCCGUCGGGUUCCUAAUGGUCUUCUCACAAUACGAGAAGUGAUGACUUCUCACCUUAGGGAGACUGGUAAGCAACUAGUUACUGAUCCAGAAAGGUUGAAGGAUCCGGUAGAAUUUGUUCAGCGUUUGCUGGAUGAGAAAGAUAAAUAUGAUAGCAUCAUAAGUCUGGCAUUCAGCAAUGACAAAACAUUCCAGAAUGCUUUGAAUUCCUCCUUUGAGUAUUUUAUUAAUUUGAAUGCUCGCUCUCCUGAAUUCAUUUCAUUAUUCGUGGAUGACAAGCUUAGAAAAGGUCUAAAGGGCGUUAGCGAGGAGGAUGUGGAGGUUAUUCUUGACAAGGUGAUGAUGCUGUUUCGUUACUUGCAGGAGAAAGAUGUAUUUGAGAAGUAUUAUAAACAGCAUUUGGCUAAGAGGCUGUUAUCAGGAAAAACGGUCUCUGAUGAUGCAGAGAGAAGUUUGAUAGUCAAACUUAAGACUGAAUGUGGAUAUCAAUUCACCUCGAAAUUAGAAGGCAUGUUCACUGACAUGAAGACCUCCCAGGAUACCAUGCAAGGGUUUUAUGCAAGCCACCCUGAGCUAGGAGAUGGGCCUACACUUGUUGUCCAGGUCUUGACGACAGGAUCUUGGCCAACUCAGCCUAGUGUUACUUGCAACUUACCUGCUGAAAUGUCAGUGCUAUGUGAAAAGUUCAGGUCAUAUUACCUUGGGACUCAUACUGGUCGGAGACUGUCCUGGCAAACUAACAUGGGCACAGCAGACAUCAAAGCGACGUUUGGGAAGGGCCAGAAACAUGAGUUGAAUGUAUCUACAUUCCAAAUGUGUGUUCUCAUGCUGUUUAACAAUGCUGAUCGGCUUAGCUACAAGGAGAUUGAGCAGGCUACGGAGAUUCCUGCUUCAGAGCUGAAGAGGUGCCUGCAAUCAAUGGCAUGUGUAAAAGGGAAAAAUGUACUUAGGAAGGAGCCCAUGAGUAAAGAUAUUGGCGAGGAAGAUGCCUUUUUCGUGAAUGACAAGUUCACAAGCAAAUUCUACAAGGUGAAGAUAGGAACUGUAGUUGCUCAAAAGGAAUCAGAACCAGAAAAGCAAGAGACUCGGCAGAGAGUGGAGGAGGACAGAAAGCCUCAGAUAGAAGCAGCAAUAGUUAGGAUCAUGAAAUCAAGGAGGGUUUUGGAUCAUAACAAUAUAAUUACUGAGGUCACAAAGCAGUUGCAGUCCCGAUUUCUUGCAAACCCGACUGAGAUUAAGAAACGUAUUGAAUCUCUUAUUGAACGAGAUUUCUUGGAGAGAGAUAGUGUGGAUAGAAAAUUGUACCGGUAUCUUGCUUGAAGGGAUAGAUUGAGCAGGUUACUCUCUUUUCUUCUUGUGGGUGGUUUAAGCAUUACCAGUUGGACUUGUACCUUGAAUGUGUUCGAAGUGAUUAAUAUUGGUGUGUUGGAUUCCAGUAUUGCUUAUUUCUUAGCUGCUUCAUCCAGCAGAUGGCAAAGAAGUAUUAAGUGAUUGUGGACCUUGUGGAUCCUGUAUCUUUAGCAAAAAGGGUGGUUGUGGACCUUCUGGUGAAAUAGUUUCAUUCUUGCUCAGCAUGAAGAGUACUAGAGUUAUUUUCACAUACGUGAUUGUGUGAUGAUUUUGGACCAUCAUCGAUUGAAGUUGAAGGGCGGCCUGUGGCAAUUGUUGGAGAUGAUAUUGUGGGAAGUGCGAGUAAAGGAAUUUGGAAUCUGUCAGUUAGAAAUGUCCCACGAUCAUUGAUGGUGCGAUAGACUCUGGCCAUGGAGAUACCAAGUACAGUCGUUUAACAAUGGCCGCUUCAUUGCCCAAGGCAUCUCCCUUUAAUUUCUUCUUUUUUCCUUUUUUCUUUUCCUUUGUCGACUUUGGUGGUCUCUUUUUCAUCUCAAUUGUAUGACUCGGAUGGAAUCUCGAUGUGUGUGUGUGUGUGUGUGUGUGUGUAAAUACAGGAUGUUAAAUCUCUAACAUUUCCCCAAGUUCAAAUAAGAAUGCGAAUUUCGAGCAGGUUCAUUGACAA